rnacentral:rRNA from 1 species
UACGUAGGGUGCAAGCGUUGUCCGGAAUUAUUGGGCGUAAAGAGCUCGUAGGCGGUUUGUUGCGUCGGCUGUGAAAUCCCGAGGCUCAACCUCGGGUCUGCAGUCGAUACGAGCAAACUAAAGUGUUGCAGGGGAGACUGGAAUUCCUGGUGUAGCGGUGAAAUGCGUAGAUAUCAGGAGGAACACCGGUGGCGAAGGCGGGUCUCUGGGCCGAUACUGACGCUGAGGAGCGAAAGCGUGGGGAGCGAACAGG